AUGAAAACCUCCGGAGAAGAUACUGAGCUCAACUUCCUUCUUCACAAAAUGGUCUCGUGUUGCUGCAGCCCGGGAGGCCUCUGAAGUGAAGCGAGCUGCUGAGUCACAACCCUCUGAACUCACAGUGAACUUCUCUCUGCUUCCACCAUUCUUCUGGACUGAUGCAGACUCAUUUUUCCUUCAAACAUUUCAUCUGAGCUUCGUGGUCGGGGUCACUGCUGCAGUUCAUCAUCCCUUCUUUGUGCCAGUGAGAUGGAUUUAUGUCUGUGCUGACUAAGCAUUGCCCCAUGGUCGUUCCUGCCCAGUCAAAUGCCACGGCGUCUCGUGAAGGAUUAAUCACACUCAGACACACACACACCCUCACCGCCAAGCUCAGGAAAACAGGAGGAAAAGGUGUGUGUGUGUAAGCACUCUUCCUCACACACUCUAACUUACGGGCAAAGUUUCACACGCUGUUACAUGUCCCUAACAGGGUGGAGAUUUUGUCUUUGAAGAGAUUCCCAAACAUGUUGCUGCAAAAGCUUGACUAAUAUUACCAAUUGAAAUAUAAAAUACAAAGCUACAGUAGUUGCUACAGUCGUUACUCUGAAAAAAUGCAAAAUCUUAUCAAAAUUUUGAUAACCAUGCAUGGUUGUCUGUAUGUUGUUUUUAAAUUUCUUUUUAGAAAAAAAAGUACUUAUUUUUUUAAAAUACUGGUGGAAAAGA